rnacentral:rRNA from 1 species
GACGAACGCUGGCGGCGUGCCUAAUACAUGCAAGUCGAGCGAAGUUUUUCUGGUGCUUGCACUAGAAAAACUUAGCGGCGAACGGGUGAGUAACACGUAAAGAACCUGCCUCAUAGACUGGGACAACUAUUGGAAACGAUAGCUAAUACCGGAUAACAGUAUUUCUCGCAUGAGAGAUAUUUAAAAGUUGGUUAUGCUAACACUAUGAGAUGGCUUUGCGGUGCAUUAGCUAGUUGGUGGGGUAAAGGCCCACCAAGGCGACGAUGCAUAGCCGACCUGAGAGGGUGAUCGGCCACACUGGGACUGAGACACGGCCCAGACUCCUACGGGAGGCAGCAGUAGGGAAUCUUCCGCAAUGGGCGAAAGCCUGACGGAGCAACGCCGCGUGAGUGAAGAAGGAUUUCGGUUUGUAAAGCUCUGUUGUUAGGGAAGAAUGGAUAUGUAGUAACUAUACAUGUAAGAGACGGUACCUAACCAGAAAGCCACGACUAACUACGUG